rnacentral:lncRNA from 1 species
CACCAUUUGGUAAUUAAUGCCUAGAUUGUUAGGGAUUCUAAUUGAAUUAAUUUUUGGAAUCAAGUCGUCGUGAACCUGCAAAACAAAUUGAUCUAAAAUAGGGAGGGAAAUGUUAGUGUUCGCCAACGCCUCCUCAAUUUUAACCUCCUCUUCAUGCAAGUUCACUCCCAACUCCUUUUCGAUCUCCAAAGACUCUACUUCAUUUUCAUCCCAUGACUCCACUUCUAUUUUAACCACUUCGCCCCUUUCACUUUCUAUUUUCUUUUCACUUUCUUGUGGCUCAUAUUCUUUUUUCUCACAAUCAACCACUCCGCUAAUUUCUCUUUUACUCUCUUGUUCCUUCAGAUGAUUAAUUUGAGAUUUAAGAAUGUCGAGAAUCUCGAAAAAUUCCUGUUUAUAAUUCAACCCAACACUCUUACUUGAUGUACUACCCGCACACUUAGCAAAAGAUGUUUUCUU